CAAUAUAGUGACUGAAUUAAAGUGUUAGACUGUAAAUCUAAAUAUGGGAGUUUCCCCUAUAUUA
rnacentral:tRNA from 1 species